ACCAAAAUACCCCGUGUGGCGAAAGUUUUAUUUUGAUUGUUUUCGAUCUAAAAUAGUUUAUAUUCUUUUAAAACUCGAUAUUUAGUAACUAUUGCUCACAAGGGAAGUGGAAAACUGAUGCAAGAGCCUUGCGAGGUUUCGGUUGACAUACCGGGUAAUGAAUGUUUACCGAGACUUCGCGGCGGUUGUCACGGGCUCGAAGGGAGUGCCGGGUAGUGACAUCUAUAGUUGUCAAUCCUUGAAAAUCUAAUGUGUGUAUUUGCAACCCAUUUUUGGAAAGCUCCUACAAUAGGGCUUAUGGCAUCGACACGAGUCAUUGCAAGUGUCGUUGGAAGUGUCGUUACGUGCAGAUCCAGGGACCCGUUCGCCUCUAUGUGUAAGUCUGGAAUUGCCACCAAUCUUUUUUGUUAGGUGUGAUUGGCCACCUAUUACACCUAUUCUCUUUGACGAGGUCUUAAUUAAUUUUAAAUCCGCCUAGAGAAUAAAACCUGAUUUGCAUUUUUUAUGUUUAGGUUUGGGAGUACAGUUAUGCGCGGAAAAGGAUUAGCACACUCUUUAUGCUCGUUCAAUGAAUAGUACCAAAUAAUCAAUUGGUAUCAUAUUUUGACCUUAAUCUUUAAUUUUAUUCC
rnacentral:lncRNA from 1 species